rnacentral:rRNA from 1 species
UACGAAGGGUGCAAACGUUGCUCGGAUUUAUUGGGCGUAAAGCGCGCGCAGGCGGUGCGGUAAGUCCGUCGUGAAAUCUCCCGGCUCAACUGGGAGGGUGCGGUGGAGACUGCCGGACUGGAGGCACUCAGAGGCCGGUGGAAUUCCCGGUGUAGUGGUGAAAUGCGUAGAGAUCGGGAGGAACACCAGUGGCGAAGGCGGCAUCCUGGACUGGUCCUGACACUCAGGAGCGAAAGCGUGGGGAGCGAUCCGG